rnacentral:rRNA from 1 species
GGGUCAGUAGGUUGGUCGUGCCACAGGUACGUACUGGUCUCACUGAUUCCUCCUUCCUGAAGAACCGUAAUGCCAUUAAUAUGGUGUUGCGGGGAAACAGGACUGUUACUUUGAAAAAAUUAGAGUGUUUAAAGCAAGCUAACGCUUGAAUACAUUAGCAUGGAAUAAUGAAAUAGGACGAUCGAUCCUAUUUUGUUGGUUUCUAGGAUUGACGUA